rnacentral:lncRNA from 1 species
AUGUCAAAACAUCCCAACCUGAUAGCCUUGAAACGGAGGGUUUCGGUUUUAACCACUUUUUGCUGGAAACUUUUUGCACUGCUGUGGAGAACGUUGAAAGUUCCUACCGAUGCCGAAUGCUUUUGUUGCAAGCGGUGUAUUGGUAGUUUACUUUUGUGCAGCCCGAUGAUUCAAGUGCUUCCCCAGAGCGUGGUCGCAGAUCAGUUCUCCCCUCCGCCCGAGGACACUCAUUCAGCGAGUUUUGGGAUGCCGCCCCCAUCCUCGUGGGUACGGAUUUGCUCCGUGGAGGCUAAGAGCAGCUGGUGCAUGGUGGGGACGGCAACAGGAGGACCAGGCAGAGCCAGGAGGCAAUAUUUAGGAUGCUGGAGUGGGAAAAAGGAGGCAGCAGCUGUGAGGUCUGGCUAUAAAAAGGCCGGGAGCUGCCGCAGUGGGUCCUCUGGGGGGUUGCUCUCUGGCCUUCUCCUUGAUGCUGUUCUAAAUACGUCCCGGAGCUGAGAUUGCAGGCAGGUUGUCUCUGUCACCAUGUCACCACCUACAGCACUCCUCCCCUUCGCUUUCCGUUUCCCAUGAAAAAAGAAAUCAGCCGCCCCAAACUUUGACUCGGAGUCACGCGUAGCUCGGCGUUGACCAGACAUCAGCCAACGAAUGAAUAUUUCAUACUCAAAACUGCCAGAGUUCCUCAUUUUCACUGUUCUCCUUGGGAAACAGAUGUCUCCUGGAAAGAGAAGAUCUUGUCUGACCGGCAGGCUCGGCGCGCACGUUUGGGGAGGUUCUCGGUUCGGGCCAGGAAUGAAUAGCUUCCCUGUCCUCGGAGGCCACCUUUAUUCCCAGCAGAGGCCACGACGCUGACAAAUGUGUUUACGUGAGGCUGUAUCUAACAAAAGAAGGCUGCCUGACCCAAUUAGCCCUGAAUUCCCCCACUUCCAAAGCAGGUGCGUCCAACCUGCUUGGCUUCCCUAAACCCGUGGCAUAGCCCGGAGCAGGAACAGGGUGAUGCUCCCAUCUGCCCGCAGAGGCUGGGCUCAGCACGUUGGUGGAGGAAAGCUGGUCCCUAGAUGCCUCCUCGGGCAGGUCAGCUCAUCUCCUCUCAUCUCUCUGCCCACCAGCACUGCAGACUCGUGCCCAUUUUUUGGCAGAGCUGGGGGUUGAAUUCUCCCACGCUUCAGGCUCGGCUGAGCCCAUACAUGGUGUUGAGAAUACAAUUAGGGAAUAAAGAUUCGCUGAAGAAGGUCA